rnacentral:rRNA from 1 species
AUUGAACGCUGGCGGCAGGCUUAACACAUGCAAGUCGAGCGAGCGGCGGACGGGUGAGUAAUGUCUGGGAAACUGCCUGAUGGAGGGGGAUAACUACUGGAAACGGUAGCUAAUACCGCAUACAAUCGGAUGUGCCCAGCUGGGAUUAGCUAGUAGGUGGGGUAAAGGCUCACCUAGGCGACGUUCACUAGCUGGUCUGAGAGGAUGACCAGGCACCAUGGAACUGAGACACGGUCCAGACGCCUACGGGAGGACGCAGGGGGGAAUAUUGGACAAUGGGCGCAAGCCUGAUGCAGCCAGGCCGGGUGUAGGAAGAAGGCCUUCGGGUUUUAAAGUACUUUCAGCGGGGAGUCGUUACCCGGAGAAGAAGGACCGGCUAACUCCGUGCCAGCCGCCGCGGUAAUUC